rnacentral:rRNA from 1 species
AGCUAUCUUUCGGGGUGGUCAAUUGGUUGUUAUAUCUCCACUAAUAAGCAGAGAGGGGUAAAACUCUCAAAGUGAGUUAUGUGGGUCAAGGUAUGAUGAUUAAUUGGAGUUCUAGUUCAUUUACUUUGAGAAAAUUAGAGUGUUUAAAGCAGCCUCUUGGGGCACUGAAUACAUUAGCAUGGGAUAAUAAAAUAGGAUCUUCACAAUAUAUUUUAUUGGUUUAAAUUGGAUAUGAAGAUAAUGAUUAAUAGGGACAGUUGGGGGUAUUCAUAUUGGGUGGUUAGCGGUGAAAUGCUCGGAUCCAUUCAAGAUGAACUAAAGCGAAGGCAUUUACCAAGGAUGUUUUCAUUAAUCAAGAACGAAGUUAAAGGGGAUCGAAGACGAUUAGAUACCGUCGUAGUC